AAGCUUGAUGACGAUGAUAUCGUCAGCUAUAUCCUGAACGGAUUAGAUGCCAAUUACAAUCCGUUCGUAUCAUCGAUGACGGUGAAAGACAAUUUAUCCUUGAGUGAUCUCUAUUCUCAACUCCUUGCCUGUGAGG